AAAUUAGCCAAAACCUGCCCUUUUGCUGCAGCCCUGCAUCAUACAAAAGCCUGCACAAGACAACAAAAAUUUGCUUCAAACUUGCACUGAAAUGUCAAAACCAAACCUGCAUCUAAAAGAAAGAAAACAGCAUACCACUUUCAAAAAAAAACCUCUUCAAAUCUCUCCCAAACCCUAAUCUCAGGGGAUAUAAAAAGAGACAGCAUACAGGAGGAGGAGGAGGCAGCUACACUUGACUGCAGAAACCCUACAAAUUUCUCCCUCAAACCUCUGCCCAGAGACACAAAAAUACACCAAAAAUACAUACAAAUAUUUAUUUGCUUCUAAUACUACAAAUAUAGAGAAUCUGGACGCAGAGUAGUAGCAGAAAGUUCCACGAUACUUACCUUGGUGAAGCUUCAUCUGAAAGCCGUCGGUUUAAUGGCAGAAAGUAUACAAAAGCUUUUGAACAAGAAGAAAGCUAGCAGAUUGUGCUGCUCUUAUUGAACAAAGCUGCUACUUAUUAUUUAAUAGAAUCAGAACCUUUGUGUCUUUCUUUGACAUUGAGAAUCAUGAAAGAGCUAGAAUAAGACUUGCUAAGUUUAUGAAGCGUGGAUGGUGUAAUAUUUGGAUACAAUAACUACAGACCACUAUUCAUUUGGGACACUUCUAUCCGAAGAGCUUUAUGCCAGAGUUGAAGCAAUUCCCAGGGUUGUUAUGAUACCGAUAUAUGGCCUUAAUCUACAUUUCUAUUAUGAUAAAUGGCUUCAGAGUCAGAGCAGAGAACCCUUUUCCUACUGGUAAUUUAAUAUUCUUUGCUAAAUAUACCAUUGAUAUAUAUAUAUAUAUAUAUUAGCCAUUGAAUUCUCCUCUUUAGUUUUUCAUUUAUUAUGAGGUUUCACAUGGAUACUUGAAUAAAUAUGCUCAAAUAGUGCAUAAAUAAAAUUCCAAUAAAUGGAUGGGUAUUUUUUCCAUGGAUAUAAAAUACCCUGAAAACAAGAAAAAAUCUCAUUAAACCAGCAAUCACUGAACUUAUUUUCAAAGAUGAAAUUUGGCACAAAGGCACUAAAACAUGCCACUAGAGAAUUUGACAUGAGUAUAGCCAUCCAAGCCUCUAAGGAGAAGUAAAGAAAACCAUCAAUGUCUUUCCUUAAUCCUACUAGCCAAUAGUGAACAAAAGACCAACCAUUUGUCCUACUAGCCAAUAGUGAACAAAAGACCAAACAUUUGUAGGAAAGGAAAGAAAAAAACACAAGUGUAUUUGCUAAUACAUAUGAAGAAACUCUAAGCUCCACUUUAAGUCUCUCUUAUAAAAGUUUUCUCUUCCAAUAGGUAAACCUUUUGUUGUUAUUUGACAAUAAUAAAUAGUCUUAUGACAAAAAAUAUAAAAUUAUUGUAAUUUUAUAUUUUAAUGUUUUUAAAUCAUUUUAUAAAAAUCCUACAAUCAGGUAAUAAAAUUUUAAUUUAAACAUAUAACACUUAUUUUGGUAGGUCUCAAUAACACAUCGAGUAAUUUUAUAUUUGCGUAAAAUAUUAUAUGAUAACCAAUAUAGUAUUAUUUUAACUACCAUAAAAGCCUUAUAAAGUUUAUUUUUUGUUAAAUUAAACGUUAUUGAACUAUAUUACAUUACCUAAAUAUUAUAAUACAAAUAUUAAUUGAUCCUCCCUAUCCCAAAUAUAGAUUAAAUUCUUGAUUACAAUUCACAACAAAUCUCAUGUAUCCUGUAAUACUAAAUUAAAUAUCUAUAUUAAAUAAUAAUAUAAAAUCAAACUUAGUGUAGGAAAAUGUUGAGGUAAACCCUUACCUAUGCAUCAUAAGAUGAGAAACCCUUACCGACCAUCUCAUGAACAAGAACAAGAGCCUGAUGAAAGUUCUUGUCUUUUAAAAAAACCCAUUCACAUUAAGGACUCAAUCCAUUUAAAUCCUUCUCCUCAAUCACUUCCAUCGUCUCAUUCAUCCUCCCUUGACUACAAAAACCUUUAAUAACCGCAUUAUAAGAAAUAAAAUUGGGCUCAACUCGUUUCUUAGCCAUUAUCUUCGACAAAACAAACGCAUCCUCAACAUUAUUCUCUUUACAAUAAGCAGUUCACAUAGUACUAUGAGUCACCACAUUAGGCAAACAGCCUUUGUCUCCAUCUCAUUCAUGAAACGAAGAUCAAAAUCUAAUUUCCCCGCAGAAACAAUUCCGUGGUUCGUUACAUUAGAGGGGAGGGGAGGGAUUUUAAUGGAGGGAAGGAGAGAGGAGGGAAGGGGAGGGAA